CUGUUUUGAAGACCCAUUGGUUGUCUUUGCAAUUUUCUCCGCUUUAGUCGGGUUGUUGUCUUUUUGACACAUUCCCUAUUUCCAUUCUCAAUUUUAUGAUUCAUUUGAGCUUAUAUUCAAAUCAUGGGACGUGUGAAUAACUGUAAAGGUUCAUUCAUGCAAUUUUGGAAUUAGUUGAAUCUAUAGGAAAAGUUCAAUUUCAAACGAGAAAACUAACAGCAUAAUUUAUGUACCAAAAAAUGAACGAAAAACAAAUAUGUAACACAUCAACAAACGUCAACUACUUAAUUACAGUAUUCCUCCUUUGAACAUUGAUUGUUGGUUGCUUAACGUCC
rnacentral:lncRNA from 1 species